rnacentral:rRNA from 1 species
AUGGUGUCUACCAAAGAAGCAAACAUGCCUGCUUGUCUUCGUUACAGGGGUGAUGUCCGAAUCAUCUUUGCAUCUGUCAUUACAGGGACACUGUCCCCUGAAAUUUGCAUCAGCACUAAAAUUUGUGCUGAUGAGAAAACAAUGUAUGUGAAACAGUUGGCAAAAUUUUGUUGUAUUGUCCAUAGAGCAAAUGCUCAGCAAAAACUUUAUGGAGGAAAUGCUGUGCUGAUUGGCAGUGGUUGCCUUUGUAACUUGUCACAUUGUAACAUCAGCAAAGAUGCGGAUAGUGUUGUUUAUGCAUUUUAUUCGUGUCUUUUUUUCGACCCAAUGCCUCCAUUCUUGUUCUGUUUUUCAGAGGCAGAUACCAUUAGCAGUUGGGUUUGUUUCUUUUUUGUUUUGAGAAAAACAAUCGAUGGAGGGAGCAGUUCUGAUUUGGCUGACAGAUUGCAUUGUGAUUGUGCUCUGUAUAUAUCACUCUGCAUCAAUGAAUUCCCAUGCUGA